rnacentral:rRNA from 1 species
AGAACGAAGCCAGCUUACACAUGCAGUCGAGGGGUAACAGAGUAGCUUGCUUUGCUGACGACCGGCGCACGGGUGCGUAACGCGUAUACAAUCUGCCUUGUACUGAGGGAUAGCCUUUGGAAACGAAGAUUAAUACCUCAUAGUAUUGCGACAUCGCAUGGUGAUGCAAUUAAAGGUUACGGUACAAGAUGGGUAUGCGUCCUAUUAGCUAGAUGGAGUGGUAACGGCACCCCAUGGCGACGAUAGGUAGGGGCCCUGAGAGGGGGAUCCCCCACACUGGUACUGAGACACGGACCAGACUCCUACGGGAGGCAGCAGUGAGGAAUAUUGGACAAUGGAGGCAACUCUGAUCCAGCCAUGCCGCGUGCAGGAAGACUGCCCUAUGGGUUGUAAACUGCUUUUAUACAGGAAGAAACAGAACUACGUGUAGUUCCUUGACGGUACUGUAAGAAUAAGGAUCGGCUAACUCCGUGCCAGCAGCCGCGGUAAUACGGAGGAUCCAAGCGUUAUCCGGAAUCAUUGGGUUUAAAGGGUCCGUAGGUGGAUAAUUAAGUCAGAGGUGAAAUCCUGCAGCUCAACUGUAGAAUUGCCUUUGAUACUGGUUAUCUUGAGUUAUUAUGAAGUAGUUAGAAUAUGUAGUGUAGCGGUGAAAUGCAUAGAUAUUACAUAGAAUACCAAUUGCGAAGGCAGAUUACUAAUAAUAUACUGACACUGAUGGACGAAAGCGUGGGGAGCGAACAGGAUUAGAUACCCUGGUAGUCCACGCCGUAACGAUGGUCACUAGCUGUUCGGAUUUCGGUCUGAGUGCUAAGCGAAAGUGAUAGUGACCCACCUGGGAGUACGUCGCAAGAUGA